rnacentral:lncRNA from 1 species
GCCCAUCCUUAUUUCCUCCGGCCCAUCCUAGCAGUUACUUUAUGACCUUUAUGAUAUAAUGAUUCCUUAAAAUUCUCUCAUAACGUAUAACGCUUUGUAAACGGCGUAUGGAAAUAUGUUCCUCAAGAUCCAGGAUCGCAAUUUUUUUCCAGGUGUGAUAAAAACUUAUGUUACUAAUUGUUACCAAUUUGGUCACUUAGCAUAUUUACAAAAUUUUAAAAAGUUAAAGUACAUUUACAAUGACUCCUUCGAUCCUAGUUCAAUGUUGCAGACAACUUUCCGAAUGCGUUUAAAUAAUUGGGAACGUAGAAAAAAGCAUGCAAUUUCUUAAGAAAAAACGCUUUUGGACAGACUUUUCUAUUGGGACUCUAUUGGAAAAGUUACAAUAUGAGAUAGGUCUUAAUGUACGAACAAACCCGCUCGUGUGUGCUAUCAUAUAAAUCCCACCUUUCAUUUCAACUUUUUGAAAUCAAUUCGUACAAUGUUAUAACCCAGUCUUUUGGGAGACCGCUUAUUCCUCCGUCGAUGUUGGAAAGAACUCUGGAGGCACCAUCGUGUUCGGCACUGCACGCAUCUUGUCGUCGGAGACCGUCAUUGCCUCGGACUUUCCGAAACUUCGUACGACGAUUUUGAAACCAUGUCUGUG